GGAAAGGCGCGCGAUACAGGGUGACAGCCCCGUACACAAAAAUGCACAUGCUGUGAGCUCGAUGAGUAGGGCGGGACACGUGGUAUCCUGUCUGAAUAUGGGGGGACCAUCCUCCAAGGCUAAAUACUCCUGACUGACCGAUAGUGAACCAGUACCGUGAGGGAAAGGCGAAAAGAACCCCGGCGAGGGGAGUGAAAAAGAACCUGAAACCGUGUACGUACAAGCAGUGGGAGCACGCUUAGGCGUGUGACUGCGUACCUUUUGUAUAAUGGGUCAGCGACUUAUAUUCUGUAGCAAGGUUAACCGAAUAGGGGAGCCGAAGGGAAACCGAGUCUUAACUGGGCGUUAAGUUGCAGGGUAUAGACCCGAAACCCGGUGAUCUAGCCAUGGGCAGGUUGAAGGUUGGGUAACACUAACUGGAGGACCGAACCGACUAAUGUUGAAAAAUUAGCGGAUGACUUGUGGCUGGGGGUGAAAGGCCAAUCAAACCGGGAGAUAGCUGGUUCUCCCCGAAAGCUAUUUAGGUAGCGCCUCGUGAAUUCAUCUCCGGGGGUAGAGCACUGUUUCGGCAAGGGGGUCAUCCCGACUUACCAACCCGAUGCAAACUGCGAAUACCGGAGAAUGUUAUCACGGGAGACACACGGCGGGUGCUAACGUCCGUCGUGAAGAGGGAAACAACCCAGACCGCCAGCUAAGGUCCCAAAGUCAUGGUUAAGUGGGAAACGAUGUGGGAAGGCCCAGACAGCCAGGAUGUUGGCUUAGAAGCAGCCAUCAUU
rnacentral:rRNA from 1 species